rnacentral:misc_RNA from 1 species
AUCCCCGAGAAUUUAUCUCCAACGUUUCAUCCAGAGGCUUCCCGCGAUUAUAUAGCGGCACGUGUCUAUGGUGAAACACAGUUCCGAAUAUCUUUCCGUGCGGGAGAAGUUCGUAAAUUAUCCGAUACAUCGAUACAAAUUUCAACCGAAAUACAGGACAGAUUUUAUUACCUCUUGAAUCGUUGUAUAUUCUCUUCACUGUGCCCGGAAGCAGCAUUCUGCACCACAGCUUUACGUCGCUGUUGAAACCAUCUGAAAACGCGGAAUGAUCUGAACAACGAAGACGACAAGUUUACGCUGUCGCUUAGAAAUACGAGUAUCCGAACACCUGCUCGUUACAUUCGUCGAAGGAUCCUAACAAAUUUUACCUUACUCGAUAUUUUACGUAUAAUACGAGUGAAAUAAUAGAUUUACAAGAAA